rnacentral:rRNA from 1 species
GCGUCGUCUUCAGAGUUUGAUCCUGGCUCAGGAUGAACGCUGGCGGCAUGCCUAACACAUGCAAGUCGAACGAGGUGUACUUGUACACCUAGUGGCGGACGGGUGCGUAACACGUGAGUAACCUGCCCUUUACAACGGGAUAACACGGAGAAAUUUGUGCUAAUACGGUAUGAGACCACAGUACGGCAUCGUACAGGGGUUAAAGUUCAGGCGGUAAAGGAGGGGCUCGCGGCCCAUUAGGUAGUUGGUGAGGUAACGGCUCACCAAGCCGACGAUGGGUAGCCGACCUGAGAGGGUGAUCGGCCACACUGGAACUGAGAUACGGUCCAG